UCUUAUCCAGAGUGACUGAGGGACAGGCCCUAUGAAGUCCAGCAACCUGCAAAAAUGUAAGGUGCUAAUUCCUGCGGCAUGACCGAAAGAUAAG
rnacentral:ncRNA from 1 species